UGUUCACCGCAGGAGAACUUAUUUAAAGCCCUCCUAUCGGUGAGGGACAGAAGGUGGGAAUAAUGGAAUCUGAGGGAAUUUUGGGAGCAGGGGUGGGAAUGGCUUUUUGAAGAAUGGUGGAAUUGGCUUAUAGAUUGGAAUAGGAGGUAGAAAUGGCUUUUUGUAGAUUGGAAUUGGAGGUAGAAUUGGCUUAUUAUAAGGUGGAAUAGGAGGUAGAAUUGGUUGUUUAUAGAUUAGAGUUGGUGGUAGGGGUGGCUUUUUGUAGAUUGGAAUAGGUGGUAGAAGUGGCUUUUUGUAGAUUGGAAUUGGUGGCGGAAAUGGCUUUUUGAAUAUAGGGAAAGGUGGCAAAUUUGGAAAUGGUGGAAACUUGAAGUGUGGCCAGAGGAAAGCAGAGGUGCACAAGGCUGUCGAGAAUUUC
rnacentral:lncRNA from 1 species